CCGGAAGAAUGGCGAUUUUAUAAAGGUAGAAAUAACCCUUUUUGAUCUCAUGAAAUAACCGUGUUUACAAACACAGUUAAAAAGCCGAUGGCUAAUUUAUUAUAAAUUCACAGUAAAUGAAAUGGAAAAACGGUUUCCUGCAAUUUUUGGAAUAAUUACAUUGGUUUUAUUGUGUGCUGGAGCUUUCUCUCCCAUGAUGGUUUGCCUUUGACACUGCUGAAGUACGUGCUAAAAUGAGUGGAGAACGCCAUCAUUCUUCAGACAGUAUAAUUGAAGUACAUAUGGGAUUAUUUUAUUGUGUUGCUAUAGGGGAAGAUUUUAGAAAUCUUGUGGGUUAUGGAGAUUUUAUUGGAUCCAACGCUAUAAGUAUGUACUUUUGUUAUUAUAUUGGUUGGAUAAAAGCAUUCAUGACUAUAUUUAUUUUUAUAAAUUAUGUACGGGGAAUACAAAUGAGACAUGAACUAAACAAGAAAAUUAAUCAAAAUAAUCAUAAGCAUCUACACGUGACUUUUUGCAUGACAUGAAUUCAUGUAUUUUAAUUUUAUCCCAUUGAAAAAUGCAGUGUGCUUAUGCAGACAUUGAUUGGGAAUUUAUUUGUAAUCAAAUGUGGUAUAUAGAAGUACAGAAAUAAUUAGUUCAUAAAUGUACAAAGAGAUCCGCCCUAACAGUAUAAUUCUACCAACCUGUUCAAUUCAUAUAAUUAGCGUAAUGUAAAAUUCAAUUUUAUCAUUAAAUAUAAAAAUCUUUUAACAUUGAUGAUAAUGAUAGAAUGGUAUUUUAAGUAAAACUAUGGAACGCCAUGACUGCCUUAUGUUAAUGAUCAGCAUUAUAUGUAGUGCUCACACCAUUAUAUUAAGUGCUCACAUCAUUAUAUUAAGUGCUCACAACAUUAUAUGCAGUGCUCACACAUUAUAUUAAGUGCUCACAACAUUAUAUUAAGGGCUCACAACAUUAUAUUAAGUGCUCACAACAUUAUAUGCAGUGCUCACACCAUUAUAUUAAGUGCUCACAACAUUAUAUUAAGGGCUCACAACAUUAUAUUAAGUGCUCACACCAUUAUAUGAAGUGCUCACAACAUUAUACGUUUUUUGUUGUAUGAUGAGAUUGUUGUAUGAUGAGAUUGAUGUAUGAUGAGAUCAUUCGGUAAACAUCGUUUUUUAGCGGAAAUUACCGAAUCCAUAAUUUGUAAAUUACGGUAAUGCCCAGCAAACAAAUUUAAACAGUUAUUAAUGUUUGGUGCAAAAUAACUAGUUUGUGAAUUUAAAUUCUUUUAAGAAUAUAAUUCGGACUACGCCGCAUUUUUGCGCCUGUCCCAAGUCAGGAGCCUCUGGUCUUUGUUUUUCUUAUAUUAUUUUAAUUUUAGUUUCUUGUGUACAAUUUGGAAAUUAGUAUGGCGUUCAUUAUCACUGAACUAAUAUAUAUUCGUUUAUGGGCCAGCUGAAGGACGCCUCCGGGUUCGGGAAUUUCUCGUUACAUUGAAGAACUGUUGGUGACCUUCUGCCGUUGUUUUUUCUAUGGAGUCGGGUUGUUUGUCUCUUUGAUACAUUCCCCAUUUCCAUUCUCGAUUUUAUGCUAUACAUAAAAGUCAAAUUAGUUUCGACAAUUUUCCAUUUUUUUUCCCGUGAGUGAUCCCUAUCCAUGAGAAAGAAGCCCCACAGAAACAAUCAAGAUCCGCCGUCAAAAGUAACUUUCCAGAUAACGAAAAAAAUAUUCAGAUAUGAAAUUUUCAACCUUUUAGAUUGAUCCUAACAUGGGAUAUGGAAAAAAAUUGGUAGCAAAAAUAACAGAAAUCCUCAGACUAUAGACAAGCUUGUAUGUGAGAAGAAUUAGAACGCCAAUCACAACAACGAGAAGAAUUCACAGUAAAAACAAUACUAGAAGAAGUUCUCCAUUAAUAUAAUUAUAUUACAAUUAUAUAUUGACAUAAUAAUGAGUAUCUUUUUUUUUGUGCUUCCGUUACAAAAUAAAUUGUGUGGACUUUAAAUAAAAUCAAAGAAGUGCUCAGCAACAAAUAGCAUUCCUCUUUUUUGUGUUGUUGCUAUCAUCUGGACCUAAACACAAAUUUGAAUCUUUUUUCGAGGUCCAUUGUUAUCAAAGAAGUGCGAUCUAAAAGAUAUUAUUCUUCUAUGACUUGUAGUUGAUUAUAUUUUGUAUCUUAAUGUACCUUAACCAGAAUUAAUUUAGGUCAAGUAGUUAUCAAAGGUACCAGGAUUAUAAUUUAGUACGCCAAAUGCUUGUUUCGUCUACAUAAGACUCAUCAGUGACGCUCAUAUCAAAAUAUUUAUACAUCCAAACAAGUACAAAGUUGAAGAGCAUUGAAAAUGACUCCUUUUUCAUGGACAAUCGUUACUAUCCAUAAUAGUAAAUCAUUCUAUUUUCUCACAGUUUCAAUCUUUACCUAAAUGCAAAACUUAGAUGCAUGUUUUUUUUAUUAGUUGUUAGUGGCUUUGAACUAGCUGUCAGUAAUUGCGAGUACUCUCAGAUCAGUACUUUAUAGUGUCUUUUUGUUGUUGGGAUAUAGAAGUAGCCGCCCACGUCUACUCUAUUUUCUGGUAGAUGGAUUUAUAUUUGUACCCAUCUGAUGAGUUAAGCCUUUUACAACUGAUUUUCAUAGUUCGUUCUUAUGUUGUUCUGUUACGCCACUGUCCCAGGUUAGAGGGAGGGUUGGUAUCCCGCUAACAUGUUAAAACCCGCCGCACAUUCUGUAUAUGUGGCUGUCCCAAGUCAGGAGGUGCCUUUAUUUCAGUGGUUGUCGUUUGUUAAUGUGUUAUAUACAUGUUAGUUUUUCGAUCGUUUGUUUGUACAUAAAUUAGGAAUGUUUUACGUUUAUCAUUUCGGGGCCUUCUAUAGCUGCAUGACUAUGCAGUAUGGGCUUUGCUCAUUGUUGAAGGCCGUACUGUGGCCGUUUAGUUGUUAAUUUCUGUGAUGUCAUUUUGUCUCUUGUGGAAAGUUGUUUCAUUAUCAAGCAUACCACUUUUUUUAUAUAUAUUAACCGUGCAAAAUGACGAACAAACGUAGUAAACGUUUUUCAUCCCCACAAACUCAGUUUUCAUAAGAGAUGAUAACUUUAAAUGAAAAUAAUGUUAAACUGGGUUUGAAAGGGUAAAAUUUAUGGAUUUUUUUGAAAAAAAAAGUGUGUUUCCAGUUUUUGGAGAAAAAAAUAAUUUGUUUUUGAUUCUGAGAAAAAAAAUUUGGUUGAUUCACCCCUAGCUGCCAAUAUAUGUAAUGCUAAAAUUGAAUUAAAAAAAAUAUUUUCGACUUGUCGCGAAAAAAAUAAAAAUCAAUAGCCCCCCCCCCCCCCCCCCCAAAAAAAAUUAAAUGGUUGCUGCCUAAAGUUAUGUUAAACACCUACAAUGAAAUGCUUUAAACUGCAUUUUCCAUAUCUGUUAGAUACUUAUUCAUGUGAAAUGACAAAUUCUGAAAAUGGAUGCCAAAAAUGACUCAAUCAUGACAUAUAUAAGCUAGCGUAAUAUGACGCUUAUGUGUUAUAGAAAGCUGACUGUUUUAUUUAAAAGGUAAUUAAGCUUUUUUUAAACUGAGUACGGACUAUAAAGUGGCACCUUGCUAAAGUUCUUCAGUAGGAAAUGAACUCGAGGAAUAUGUCAUACAAAUUUCCCUUCGAUAUUUCAUUAAAUAAACUUUUUAUUAAUAUUUUUACUUUUUAUUAUUUCACUUACAUUUUGCCAUUCGUAUUUCUUACGACGAACAGAACUACUUUAAUCAUUCACUUCUUAGUUUCAUCUUUUCCUUACUUAUUUCAAUCAGUUUUAAAUAUUGUAUACUGCCUUAUGAUCACAUGACUUUAAUAACUGUUUAAAUUUGUUUGCUGGGCAUUACCGUAAUUUACAAAUUAUGGAUUCGGUAAUUUCCGCUAAAAAACGAUGUUUACCGAAUGAUCUCAUCAUACAUCAAUCUCAUCAUACAACAAUCUCAUCAUACAACAAAAAACGUAUAAUGUUGUGAGCACUUCAUAUAAUAUUGUGAACACUUCAUAUAAUGUUGUGAUCACUUCAUAUAAUGUUGUGACCACUGCAUAUAAUGUUUUGAACACUUCAUAUAAUGCUUUGUCCACUAGUACUGCAUAUAAUGUUUGGAGCACUUAAAUAUAAUGUUGUGAGCACAUAAUAUAAUGUUGUGAGCACUUAAUAUAAUGUUGUGAGCACUUAAUAUAAUGAUGUGAGCACUGCAUAUAAUGGUGUGAGCACUUAAUAUAAUGUUGUGAGCCCUUAAUAUAAUGUUGUGAGCACUUAAUAUAAUGGUGUGAGCACUGCAUAUAAUGUAGUGAGCACUUAAUAUAAUGUUGUGAGCACUUAAAUAUAAGUUGUGAGCACUUAAUAUAAUGAUGUGAGCACUGCAUAUAAUGGUGUGAGCACUGCAUAUAAUGGUGUGAGCACUGCAUAUAAUGGUGUGAGCCCUUAAUAUAAUGUUGUGAGCACUUAAUAUAAUGGUGUGAGCACUGCAUAUAAUGUUGUGAGCACUUAAUAUAAUGUUGUGAGCACUUAAUAUAAUGGUGUGAGCACUGCAUAUAAUGCUGAUCAUUAACAUAAGGCAGUCAUGGCGUUCCAUAUAAAACAGCAAAUUAAAACAAUUUACGUAUACUAUAAUUUGUUAGGCUCUUUUUCUUUAUACUUUAUACUUUUGCGAAAUAUUUCUAUUCUUUAUUUUUUCGCUGUUGCCAUGGAUACACCACAGAGGAAUACAUUUAACCAUUCAACUACUGGAUAUCAGUUCUAUGGGGAAAAACCCACUGAUUACAUACAUAUGCACACGAUAUGACACACACAGCAGGCUUGAUUUGAAAGCAAGGAAACGGGGAUUGUAAACGUUAUGUAUUUUGCUAUUUAACUCGUUGUGUGGUGUCAUUUUCAAGAAAAGAGCAGUACAUGUAAAACUAUAACAUAUUAGCGUCAUUCACUCUUAGAAAGUUUUUAUAACUAAUAGGACCUCUUUGUUGCGCUUCUGCACGUCUCUCAUACUUUUGAUUUUGAUUUUGGAUUAGGGACUACGGUUUGAAUUUUCCUCGAAGUUCAGUUUUUUUUAAUGAUUUUGUUUCAUACUGCCUACACAGUGGUCCCCGUUUCAUCCACAUCCUCACCUAGAUUUCUCUGCGCCCGUUGAUGUCUAUGCCUUCUUGUUGGUCUUCUGUGCUCAAUUCAAGCUCUGUAACAGCUAUUACCCUGUCUCUCUGAGCUCUAACCACCUUGCCCACUAAUCAAACUACUUUAUUUCUAUGUAGAUAUUUACUGAGAACUUCGUUGUUGUACUGAAUCUAACCAAAUAAACGGUAGUGUGUUAUGGAACACAGAUAAUGCACAAGCUUGCAUGUAACAUUAUAUAAGACAUUGCAUAAGAACGGCGAAUAUGACGUUACCCAAAUUCGCACUCGAUCUGUGUUUGAUGGUAAUAAGCAUUGUGUAUAUGUUUCAUAAAAUUUGGUGAAGACAAAAUAAGAUUAGAGAACGGAAACUAAUUGUGUUGACGUACAUACGUUCUUACGGACAGACAAGGGUAUCAUUUGUAAAUGCCCUCUCCGGUGUAGCGGGUCAUAAAAAAAUAAUCAGACGUUUUUAUUAUUAAAUUGUACAUACCGGAUCAAUUCCCGACUAUCCCUACAACCCCUAUACGAUUAGGUCGAGCAGGUCUAGUUGAGAUCAGGUUGAAAUUUUAGUUCAUUUCGUCUAGCUAGUCGAGUAAAGAUAUAUAGUGUAAAGAUCGCCAAUUGGUCGCAAUUAUCGAAUAUGUAUUCAAUUUGUGGUCGUGAUGGAGUCGUGAAAGGGCGAGUUAAGGUCGUGUACAGUCUGAUAGCAGUCGGGUAUAAGUCGUUAACAGGCCCGAUGAAGAAUUUGGUAAUGCUUGGGCUCGAUCGUGGAAACUUGAACAAUCGGGAUCAUCGAGUUGAUCUGAUCGGCAGUGUGAACCUUACUUUAACGAGUAACAGAAACUGUGUCUAUUACAAAACACAGGCACGCGUGUUUUAUUAUAAUUUUCAAUCAUCUUUGUAUUAUGAUUAACAUAAACUUCUCUAAUUUCUAGCUAUUGGUUUGCUUGAAUACCAGGUAGAAGUUAUCCUGGGAAUAGUCCUAUGUUUAAUAUCAGUCAUACUGACUUUUACAUACAAAAAAGAAGGAACAAAAAAGUGUUUUGGUUGCUAUAUUCAUAAUGUACAUC
rnacentral:lncRNA from 1 species